CCUGUCACUCACACAUGCGAACGAAUGCAUGUGUACGCGUUUCUCCCACUCUCUCUUAUGCGAUUACAAAGCCGACUACUCCCCAACUGAAAUUACAUCGUCCCGUAUACAUGCUACGACUUACAAACAUGCACGUAAGUCGCGUGUGGUGUCGUGACACGCAUGCUCGCGCCUGGAUUUCUGCGAGCACAAGCGGUGACUCUCCGGAGACGCCUAUGACCUGUACAAUUAAGAGGUCCCACGGGGUCACAGCCAAUUAUCCGACAUUACAGAGAGAAGGAGAGCAAAUGGGAGAAGGCACCCCCGCUGUGUGCUCGUCAGCACUUUUCAUUGUUGGCUCAAUUCGCCACUAAAGGCGGGAAACGUGAGCCGAUUCUUUAACGACUUCUCGUCAACGGACGCUACCUGCUGUCACGUGGUCUACCUGUGUGUCGGGUGAAUCCCCGGAAUGUGGGUCCGACGCGGCAAGGGAAAAACGCUCGCCUUGCCAGCGCGUAGUCAGUUGAUGUCAUGUGUGCGUAAUAUUUUCCCAGUCGUAGCUGAGUCAAUAUUUGUAUUAACUAAUGAUUGUUUCGAUAACGAUCGUAAAGAUGUCGAAUUACUAAUGAUAAUGAUCACAAAACAUCGAACGCUUCGAUCCGCUUUGGAUUCUCUUCGGUGAUAAAUUAAGCGAAUUAAGAGAAUAAACAUCAGUGGAAUCAAUAUAUUUUAAAGAGAACCCCCAUUAUAACUAAUUUAAUUGUGCUUUUUUUAGGAAAAGAAAACAGAAAAUUCGGGAGAGCUCUAGGGAAUUUUGGAAAAUGAACGUGAUCCAGCAUCAUUCAGUAGCAUCAUGUUGCUCAAGUUUAAAUAAUAAGCGAAACUGUUAAUAAUCAUUAACUCUCACCGAUCCGGUGACUAGUUGCCAAUUAACGGUGAGAGUUUACUCUUUUAAUAGAUUUAAUCUCCAGGUUCUGAGACUCUGUUUGGGUUUAACAACCAUCUUUUGCCUCAUACAGGAAGCGUCGCUUGAAUCAUAGUAAUUAAUAUUGUAUGUCCCAUCGCCGUGGGAAAAAUCGCACUGCGUCACGCAAUGACGUUUCCAAUCCACAUCGGCGGUAAUAUUUUCGUCGAAGGCCGUUCCGACGCGAUGUUCCUCGCGCUUCGCGAUAGAGAAGUGUGUCGCGACCGAAAUAGCGUGGGUGUCGCGAGUGCUCCGAGCGUGAUGCAAGCGCGUGAAGGCGCGCGGAAAAAUACGACGCGCGUGUUCCCGAAAUCUCUGAAAUUCCCAGGCUGUACGACGAAGUUGCCUCUUGCCCCAUCGCAGAGCACACCGGCCGACUAGAUUCCAGCGAGAUGAUAGUGCUCGCCCUCGAAGCCGCUAAUCACAUGCGACUAUCGCAGCGGCUGUGGCCGCGCGAUUAGACGAGCGACUGACCCGCAGCACGCUACGCCAAUGUACAAACGCGAUUUCAAAUGUUAUAGGGAAUUUCGACAGUGCAGUCUGCACGAGGGGGUGUCAUCGAUACGCGAACACGUUCGAGGAGAGACUCGCGUUCACUUGGAGAGACAGGUUCAACGGCACCGGAGCGCAUCCGGGCAAACCGCCAGCUCGCGCUCGCGCGAUUUCAAUUUCAAUUUCCCGCAUUCGGCGAUACGAAUUAGAAAAAUAUUUUUAUUGCCGCACGCGCGGCAGAUUCUCCCGCUCGUAAAUCUGCGCGUCCCUCGUAAAUCUCCGCGACUGUAGUAAACACCGUUUAGCGAGCACAUGGAGGCACAUGGGCGCGCUCAAUGCCGUGUGUGCAGCACAUAUACGGUGAAAACCGUGUCGCUUAUAAGCCGCUCGCAUAGAAGCAAGGAGAACUGGGACCGCGAUGCAUUUUUCAUUGGGACUUUUUAUAUCCCCGAGCGGUGAGAAACGAUUAAAAAUUACCGAGGGUUCUUCGUUACACUAAUGGAAAAUAUCUGUAUGUGUUGAGUCUCCCCAAGGGACUCGACCAAUCGGAGUCCCGCGCGGCGACCACUCGCUUCACUUUGAUGUGAAGAUAACGCGCGCAC
rnacentral:lncRNA from 1 species